rnacentral:rRNA from 1 species
UACGUAGGGUGCAAGCGUUAAUCGGAAUUACUGGGCGUAAAGCGUGCGCAGGCGGUUAUGUAAGACAGAUGUGAAAUGCCCGGGCUUAACCUGGGAACUGCAUUUGUGACUGCAUGGCUAGAGUUUGGCAGAGGGGGGUAGAAUUCCACGUGUAGCAGUGAAAUGCGUAGAUAUGUGGAGGAACACCGAUGGCGAAGGCAGCUCGCUGGGACGGUACUGACGCUGAGGCGGCGAAAGCGUGGGGAGCAAACAGGG